ACAAAGGCGUAGAAGGACAGAAGUAGCAGAGAAUCCCGUUACCUCAGAGAGCUGGUGGUAGGUGCGAACCGGCGGCGGAGCUCUAGCGAAUUACGGUCCGGAGCCGUCCGGGGGAACAUUGGGGAGCGUGGCUUCUUCAAUUAGUAGUUCGGCACCGGGAUUAACAUUCCCGUUAUGGCAAUGAAGUGAAAGCUGUGCAGGCCGGCUAAGCGUAGUAGGGUCGACGGUUUUAAUUAGGGUGGUACCGCGAGUCUCUUUCUCGUCCCUUGG
rnacentral:ncRNA from 1 species